AUUGAACGCUAGCGGGAUGCCUUACACAUGCAAGUCGAACGGAGUGGCGAACGGGGGAGUAAUGUAUCGGAACGUGCCCAGUAGUGGGGGAUAACUACGCGAAAGCGUAGCUAAUACCGCAUACUAUUGGCGUGGCAGGUAUCGGAAUAGCAAGUUGGUGGGGUAACGGCUCACCAAGGCGACGAGCCGUAGCUGGUUUGAGAGGACGAGCAGCCACACUGGGACUGAGACACGGCCCAGACUCCUACGGGAGGCAGCAGUGGGGAAUAUUGGACAAUGGGGGAAACCCUGAUCCAGCCAUCCCGCGUGUGCGAUGAAGGCCUUCGGGUUGUAAAGCACUUUUAGCAGGGAAGCGGUACCUGCAGAAUAAGCACCGGCUAACUACGUGCCAGCAGCCGCGGUAAUUC
rnacentral:rRNA from 1 species